rnacentral:rRNA from 1 species
UACGAAGGGGGGCUAGCGUUGCUCGGAAUGACUGGGCGUAAAGGGCGCGUAGGCGGCGAUCAAGGUCAGAUGUGAAAUUCCUGGGCUUAACCUGGGGGGCUGCAUUUGAUACGUGGUGGCUUGAGUGCGGAAGAGGGUCGUGGAAUUCCCAGUGUAGAGGUGAAAAUUCGUAGAUAUUGGGAAGAACACCGGUGGCGAAGGCGGCGACCUGGUCCGUGACUGACGCUGAGGCGCGAAAAGCGUGGGGGAGCAAACAGG